UACAGAGGUCUCAAGCGUUGUUCGGAUUCAUUGGGCGUAAAGGGUGCGUAGGCGGCGCGGUAAGUCGGGUGUGAAAUCUCGGAGCUUAACUCCGAAACUGCAUUCGAUACUGCCGUGCUUGAGGACUGGAGAGGAGACUGGAAUUUACGGUGUAGCGGUGAAAUGCGUUGAUAUCGUAAGGAAGACCAGUGGCGAAGGCGGGUCUCUGGACAGUUCCUGACGCUGAGGCACGAAGGUCAGGGGAGCAAACGGG
rnacentral:rRNA from 1 species